CUCCAUGACGACACACCACUAUUUGCACGUCAGUUUGACUUAUAAUUUACUCGGCAUGAUACAAGCAUAGCUGUCCCACCCCCACCCACACGCACAUGCACUCACACUC
rnacentral:snoRNA from 2 species